rnacentral:rRNA from 1 species
CAGCAGCCGCGGGAAAACGUAGGGUGCAAGCGUUAAUCGGAAUUACUGGGCGUAAAGCGUGCGCAGGCGGUUUUGUAAGACAGAGGUGAAAUCCCCGGGCUCAACCUGGGAACUGCCUUUGUGACUGCAAGGCUAGAGUACGGCAGAGGGGGAUGGAAUUCCGCGUGUAGCAGUGAAAUGCGUAGAUAUGCGGAGGAACACCGAUGGCGAAGGCAAUCCCCUGGGCCUGUACUGACGCUCAUGCACGAAAGCGUGGGGAGCAAACAGGAUUAGAUACCCCAGUAGUCCCUGUCUCUUAUAC